rnacentral:rRNA from 1 species
UACGUAGGAUGCAAGCGUUGUUCGGAGUUAUUGGGCGUAAAGCGCACGUAGGCGGCGCGGUAAGUGUGGUGUGAAAUCUGCGGGCUUAACCCGCAGCGGUCGCUGCAGACUGCCGUGCUUGAGGGCUGGAGAGGAAGAUAGAAUUCCCGGUGUAGUGGUGAAAUGCGUAGAUAUCAGGAGGAACACCGGUGGUGUAGGCGGCUUUCUGGACCAUAACUGACGCUGAGACACGAAAGCGUGGGUAGCAAACAGG